GACGAACGCUGGCGGCGUGCCUAAUACAUGCAAGUAGAACGCUGAAGAGAGGAGCUUGCUCUUCUUGGAUGAGUUGCGAACGGGUGAGUAACGCGUAGGUAACCUGCCUUGUAGCGGGGGAUAACUAUUGGAAACGAUAGCUAAUACCGCAUAACAAUGGAUGACACAUGUCAUUUAUUUGAAAGGGGCAAUUGCUCCACUACAAGAUGGACCUGCGUUGUAUUAGCUAGUAGGUGAGGUAAUGGCUCACCUAGGCGACGAUACAUAGCCGACCUGAGAGGGUGAUCGGCCACACUGGGACUGAGACACGGCCCAGACUCCUACGGGAGGCAGCAGUAGGGAAUCUUCGGCAAUGGGGGCAACCCUGACCGAGCAACGCCGCGUGAGUGAAGAAGGUUUUCGGAUCGUAAAGCUCUGUUGUAAGUCAAGAACGGGUGUGAGAGUGGAAAGUUCACACAGUGACGGUAGCUUACCAGAAAGGGACGGCUAACUACGUG
rnacentral:rRNA from 1 species